UGGCGAACGGGUGAGUAAUGUAUCGGAACGUGCCCAGUAGCGGGGGAUAACUACGCGAAAGCGUAGCUAAUACCGCAUACGCCCUACGGGGGAAAGCAGGGGAUCGCAAGACCUUGCACUAUUGGAGCGGCCGAUAUCGGAUUAGCUAGUUGGUGGGGUAACGGCUCACCAAGGCGACNAUCCGUAGCUGGUUUGAGAGGACGACCAGCCACACUGGGACUGAGACACGGCCCAGACUCCUACGGGAGGCAGCAGUGGGGAAUUUUGGACAAUGGGGGAAACCCUGAUCCAGCCAUCCCGCGUGUGCGAUGAAGGCCUUCGGGUUGUAAAGCACUUUUGGCAGGAAAGAAACGUCAUGGGUUAAUACCCCGUGAAACUGACGGUACCUGCAGAAUAAGCACCGGCUAACUACGUGCCAGCAGCCGCGGUAAUACGUAGGGUGCAAGCGUUAAUCGGAAUUACUGGGCGUAAAGCGUGCGCAGGCGGUUCGGAAAGAAAGAUGUGAAAUCCCAGAGCUUAACUUUGGAACUGCAUUUUUAACUACCGGGCUAGAGUGUGUCAGAGGGAGGUGGAAUUCCGCGUGUAGCAGUGAAAUGCGUA
rnacentral:rRNA from 1 species